rnacentral:rRNA from 1 species
CCUACGGGGGGCAGCAGUGAGGAAUAUUGGUCAAUGGGCGCGAGCCUGAACCAGCCAAGUCGCGUGAGGGAUGACGGUCCUACGGAUUGUAAACCUCUUUUGCCGGGGAGCAAGCGUGCGUUCGUGAACGCGCGUCGAGAGUACCCGGAGAAAAAGCAUCGGCUAACUCCGUGCCAGCAGCCGCGGUAAUACGGAGGAUGCGAGCGUUAUCCGGAUUUAUUGGGUUUAAAGGGUGCGCAGGCGGCGUGUCAAGCAAGCGGUAAAAUAGCGGGGCUCAACCCCGUCGAGCCGUUUGAACUGGCGCG